rnacentral:rRNA from 1 species
ACUAACUCUAGCCCUAACACCCAUUUACCUAACUAUAUAACAUUAUAAAUCAAAACAUUUACCCACAUAAAAGUAUUGGAGAAAGAAAUCUUAUUAAGGAGCUAUAGAGUAAGUACCGCAAGGGAAAGAUGAAAGAUCAACUUAUAGUACAAAUAAGCAGAGACUAAACCUUGUACCUUUUGCAUAAUGAGUUAACUAGAAAUCUUUUGACUAAAAGAAUUUAAGCCAAAGACCCCGAAACCAAACGAGCUACCUAAAAACAAUUUUAUGAGUAAACCCGUCUAUGUAGCAAAAUAGUGGGAAGAUUUUUAGGUAGAGGUGAAAAGCCUAACGAGCUUGGUGAUAGCUGGUAACCCAAAAAAUGAAUUUUAGUUCAACUUUAAAUUUACUAAAAGAAUAAAAAAUCUGAAUGUAAAUUUAAACUAUAGCCAAAAGAGGGACAGCUCUUUAGGAACGGAAAAAACCUUUAAUAGUGAAUAAACAAAUAUAAAUUAACCAUUGUUGGCUUAAAAGCAGCCACCAACAAAGAUAGCGUUCAAGCUCAACAUAAUAAAAACCCUAAUCCCUAAAUUACAAUAAUUUCCUAAACUACAAACUGGGUGAUUCUAUAAACCUAUAGAAGAAAUACUGUUAAUAUGAGUAACAAGAAUUUAUUCUCCAAGCACAAGUGUAUAACAACCCGGAUAACCAUUGUUAGUUAUCAGACUACAGACAACACUUCUCAAAUAAAUAUGUCUAUAAAUAAUCUGUUAAUCCAACACAGGCGUGCAACAAGGAAAGAUUAACCAAAAUAAAAGGAACUAGGCAAACUAAAACCCCGCCUGUUUACCAAAAACAUCACCUCUAGCAUAGCAAGUAUUAGAGGCAUUGCCUGCCCAGUGACUAUAGUUAAACGGCCGCGGUAUCCUGACCGUGCAAAGGUAGCAUAAUCAUUUGUUCCUUAAUUAGGGACUAGUAUGAAUGGCUAAACGAGGGUUUAACUGUCUCUUAUUUUUGAUCAGUGAAAUUGACCUUCCAGUGAAGAGGCUGGAAUUCCAUAAUAAGACGAGAAGACCCUAUGGAGCUUAAAUUAACAAGCUUAAUUAUUACUUCUAACCCUAAUGGACUAAAACAAAAACUGUAAGCUUAAAAUUUUGGUUGGGGUGACCUCGGAGAACAAAAAAUCCUCCGAACGAUCAUAACAUAGACCUACAAGUCAAAGUAACUAAAAUAUCCAAUUGACCCAAAAAUAACUUGAUCAACGGACCAAGUUACCCUAGGGAUAACAGCGCAAUCCUAUUUAAGAGUCCAUAUCGACAAUAGGGUUUACGACCUCGAUGUUGGAUCAGGACAUCCCAAUGGUGCAGAAGCUAUUAAUGGUUCGUUUGUUCAACGAUUAAAGUCCUACGUGAUCUGAGUUCAGACCGGAGAAAUCCAGGUCGGUUUCUAUCUAUUAACAAUUUCUCCCAGUACGAAAGGAUAAGAGAAAUAGAGCCACCUUAACAAAAGCGCUCUAAACUUAAUUUAUGAAAAAAAUCUAAAUAAAAAAUUUAUGUAGACCCCAAACCUAGACAAGGUC